rnacentral:tRNA from 1 species
UCCCUGGUAGUCUAAUGGCCGAGACUCCUAGCUCCCAAGUGCAGGGGCCCAGGUUUGAUUCCUGGUCAGGGAA